GCCGGGUGUUGUGGCGCGCGCCUGUAAUCCCAGCUACUCGGGAGGCUGAGGCAGGAGGAUCACUUGAACCUGGGAGGCGAAGGUUGCAGUGAGCUGAGAUCAUGUCACUGCACUCCAUCCUGGGCAACAGAGUGAGACUCUGUCUCUG
rnacentral:SRP_RNA from 1 species